AUUGAACGCUGGCGGAAUGCUUUACACAUGCAAGUCGAACGGCAGCACGGGUGCUUGCACCUGGUGGCGAGUGGCGAACGGGUGAGUAAUACAUCGGCACGUACCCAGUCGUGGGGGAUAACGUAGCGAAAGUUACGCUAAUACCGCAUACGUCCUGAGGGAGAAAGCGGGGGACCGUAAGGCCUCGCGCGAUUGGAGCGGCGGAUGGCGGAUUAGCUAGUUGGUGGGGUAAAGGCCUACCAAGGCGACGAUCCGUAGCGGGUCUGAGAGGACGGCCCGCCACACUGGAACUGAGACACGGUCCAGACUCCUACGGGAGGCAGCAGUGGGGAAUUUUGGACAAUGGGCGAAAGCCUGAUCCAGCCAUUCCGCGUGAGUGAAGAAGGCCUUCGGGUUGUAAAGCUCUUUCGGCAGGGAAGAAACGGCUUGGGAUAAUACCCCGGGCUAAUGACGGUACCUGAAGAAGAAGCACCGGCUAACUACGUGCCAGCAGCCGCCGUAA
rnacentral:rRNA from 1 species